AGACCCGAAACCCGGUGAUCUAGCCAUGGGCAGGUUGAAGGUUGGGUAACACUAACUGGAGGACCGAACCGACUAAUGUUGAAAAAUUAGCGGAUGACCUGUGGCUGGGGGUGAAAGGCCAAUCAAACCGGGAGAUAGCUGGUUCUCCCCGAAAGCUAUUUAGGUAGCGCCUCGUGAAUUCAUCUCCGGGGGUAGAGCACUGUUUCGGCUAGGGGGCCAUCCCGGCUUACCAACCCGAUGCAAACUGCGAAUACCGGAGAAUGUUAUCACGGGAGACACACGGCGGGUGCUAACGUCCGUCGUGAAGAGGGAAACAACCCAGACCGCCAGCUAAGGUCCCAAAGUCAUGGUUAAGUGGGAAACGAUGUGGGAAGGCCCAGACAGCCAGGAUGUUGGCUUAGAAGCAGCCAUCAUUUAAAGAAAGCGUAAUAGCUCACUGGUCGAGUCGGCCUGCGCGGAAGAUGUAACGGGGCUAAACCAUGCACCGAAGCUGCGGCAGCGACACUCAGGUGUUGUUGGGUAGGGGAGCGUUCUGUAAGCCUGUGAAGGUGGCCUGUGAGGGUUGCUGGAGGUAUCAGAAGUGCGAAUGCUGACAUAAGUAACGAUAAAGCGGGUGAAAAGCCCGCUCGCCGGAAGACCAAGGGUUCCUGUCCAACGUUAAUCGGGGCAGGGUGAGUCGACCCCUAAGGCGAGGCCGAAAGGCGUAGUCGAUGGGAAACGGGUUAAUAUUCCCGUACUUGGUGUUACUGCGAAGGGGGGACGGAGAAGGCUAUGUUGGCCGGGCGACGGUUGUCCCGGUUUAAGCGUGUAGGUGUGUGUUCCAGGUAAAUCCGGUUCACUUUAACACUGAGGCGUGACGACGAGGCACUACGGUGCUGAAGCAACAAAUGCCCUGCUUCCAGGAAAAGCCUCUAAGCAUCAGGUAACAUCAAAUCGUACCCCAAACCGACACAGGUGGUCAGGUAGAGAAUACCAAGGCGCUUGAGAGAACUCGGGUGAAGGAACUAGGCAAAAUGGUGCCGUAACUUCGGGAGAAGGCACGCUGACACGUAGGUGAAGUGAUUUACUCAUGGAGCUGAAGUCAGUCGAAGAUACCAGCUGGCUGCAACUGUUUAUUAAAAACACAGCACUGUGCAAACACGAAAGUGGACGUAUACGGUGUGACGCCUGCCCGGUGCCGGAAGGUUAAUUGAUGGGGUCAGCGCAAGCGAAGCUCCUGAUCGAAGCCCCGGUAAACGGCGGCCGUAACUAUAACGGUCCUAAGGUAGCGAAAUUCCUUGUCGGGUAAGUUCCGACCUGCACGAAUGGCGUAAUGAUGGCCAGGCUGUCUCCACCCGAGACUCAGUGAAAUUGAACUCGCUGUGAAGAUGCAGUGUACCCGCGGCAAGACGGAAAGACCCCGUGAACCUUUACUAUAGCUUGACACUGAACAUUGAGCCUUGAUGUGUAGGAUAGGUGGGAGGCUUUGAAGUGUGGACGCCAGUCUGCAUGGAGCCGACCUUGAAAUACCACCCUUUAAUGUUUGAUGUUCUAACGUGGACCCGUAAUCCGGGUUGCGGACAGUGUCUGGUGGGUAGUUUGACUGGGGCGGUCUCCUCCUAAAGAGUAACGGAGGAGCACGAAGGUUGGCUAAUCCUGGUCGGACAUCAGGAGGUUAGUGCAAUGGCAUAAGCCAGCUUGACUGCGAGCGUGACGGCGCGAGCAGGUGCGAAAGCAGGUCAUAGUGAUCCGGUGGUUCUGAAUGGAAGGGCCAUCGCUCAACGGAUAAAAGGUACUCCGGGGAUAACAGGCUGAUACCGCCCAAGAGUUCAUAUCGACGGCGGUGUUUGGCACCUCGAUGUCGGCUCAUCACAUCCUGGGGCUGAAGUAGGUCCCAAGGGUAUGGCUGUUCGCCAUUUAAAGUGGUACGCGAGCUGGGUUUAGAACGUCGUGAGACAGUUCGGUCCCUAUCUGCCGUGGGCGCUGGAGAACUGAGGGGGGCUGCUCCUAGUACGAGAGGACCGGAGUGGACGCAUCACUGGUGUUCGGGUUGUCAUGCCAAUGGCACUGCCCGGUAGCUAAAUGCGGAAGAGAUAAGUGCUGAAAGCAUCUAAGCACGAAACUUGCCCCGAGA
rnacentral:rRNA from 2 species